AAAAAGCUAGGGUUUUCCAACUUUGAUUUUAAUCUUUGAUUUGGUAAGUGUAUUGAUGCUCGUUUUUAGUAACUUUUUAUGUUUUUAAGGUCGUAUCAAUUUGGUCUAUCUAAAUCAAGGACCAAUUGGUGAAACUUUUAAAUAUUAUAAAAUUUUUCAUUGAUGAAUGAGGUUAUUUCUUAAAGUUUAUGAUGAAAUAUGGAGCUUUGUUGAUAGAUUAGAAUAUUUUGAAAAGUGAUUUUUGAUGAUUUUGAUGUUUAGGGAUUAAAUUGAUUAAAUGAUAAAUUGUUUGUACUUGACGUGAAAUUAUUACAAAUAGGGAUUUAUAUGAAGUUAUAGAAUAUUUCGGUAUCAUGGGUGUUUAGGAAAAAUGAGUAAAUUGCAUGAUUAAGGCCUAAGGGUUGAAUUGAAUAAAAUGGAAUUUAAGGGGCAAAUAGGUAAAUUGCCAAAAAGGACUUAGUUGCAUGAAAGGAUCAAAUUGUGUUGUUGUCCUUAUUGAUGGAAUGAAAUUAUUUUUUUUAGAUCGAGAACGUGCUGAUAAUCGUGAAAAUGAGAAAACUACGGAAUAGUCCCUGUAUUUUGGAAUCUUCUGCAAUUCAGUCCAGUAAGUUUGUAUGUUUAUUUAUACUCCUAAAAUGCUUAAAUUCUUGUUAAUAUUCUCUUAAUGAAUGUUGUUUCAUAUAUUGAAAGUACACUUUAUCGAGCCAAAUCUUACUGUUAUACUGAAUGAAACUCAAUCGAACAAAUCAUACUGUUAUACUGAAUGGAGCUUAACUAAGCAAAUCUUACCAUUAUACUGAAUAAUGUUUAAUCGAGAAAAUUUUACUGUUAUACUGAGUGAAUUUCAAACGAGUAGAAGUCUAUGGAUAUACUAAUGAAAAACUCAAUCGAGCAAUGCCUACUGAGUAUAUUGAACUACCGAAUUGGUUUUAAUUAUUGUUAUAAGCUGCGUAUAAUUUGUUCAUUUUGUAGAUCACAUUUUGAAGGCUAAGAAUAUCGGGUCAACGCUAGGAAUCACACUAUCUGAGAAUCUUGGUAGACUUAAUUUCUCGAUUUUGGUAUAUGGCAUGUACUAGGACCCUAUGUAUUGUUAUGAGAAAUGCCUAGCUUAUGAGUAAUAUAUUGUGAUAUGUUGUGCACUUGAACAACUUGUGAUCUCCUACUUGUUACUUAAAUAUGUUUGAUAGGUCAUAGUAUGAAAUGAUAUGCUAUGAGUUAACUUGAGCUUGAAAUGAAAUGGAUGUUUGUUUAUAAAGAUUGAUGUGUUUGUAGCUACAAAUUGGAAAUAAAUUGUGAUGAAACACAUUGAGGUGCCAAGGUUAAUAAAUGUUUGAUAUAUAGAAUGAAUUUAUGAUUAUCUUGAGUGUGUUUGAAGUUGAAUUGCACCUUCCAUAUGUGUAUUUGAAGUGUGUG
rnacentral:lncRNA from 1 species